GACGAACGCUGGCGGCGUGCUUAACACAUGCAAGUCGAACGGAAAGGCCCUGCUUUUGUGGGGUGCUCGAGUGGCGAACGGGUGAGUAACACGUGAGUAACCUGCCCUUGACUUUGGGAUAACUUCAGGAAACUGGGGCUAAUACCGGAUAGGAGCUCCUGCUGCAUGGUGGGGGUUGGAAAGUUUCGGCGGUUGGGGAUGGACUCGCGGCUUAUCAGCUUGUUGGUGGGGUAGUGGCCUACCAAGGCUUUGACGGGUAGCCGGCCUGAGAGGGUGACCGGCCACAUUGGGACUGAGAUACGGCCCAGACUCCUACGGGAGGCAGCAGUGGGGAAUAUUGCACAAUGGGCGGAAGCCUGAUGCAGCAACGCCGCGUGCGGGAUGACGGCCUUCGGGUUGUAAACCGCUUUCGCCUGUGACGAAGCGUGAGUGACGGUAAUGGGUGAAGAAGCACCGGCUAACUACGUG
rnacentral:rRNA from 1 species